GCUGGGUAUGGUGGUGCAUGCCUGUAAUUCCAGCUACUGGGGAGGCUGAGACAUGAGAAUCACUUGAACCCAGGAGGUGGAGGUUGCAGUGAGCCAAGAUUGUGCCACUGCACUCCAGCCUGGGUAACAGAGCGAGACUCUGUCUCAA
rfam:Homo sapiens chromosome 10, GRCh38 reference primary assembly.